AAUUAAUGCGGCUGGAAUUUAAAAUAGUAAAAAAAAAUGCAAAGUGCAAGAAUAUAUUGAAUUGCAACAAGUUUUGGACUUUAUAUAAAUAUAAAAGUGUUGCCGUAACAUCACUUCCAUCAAUCACCGAAAACCAUGCUUCUCAAAGAAAAAUUGUGCANUGAUUGUAAACUAAAUCAACAACCUUUUACUAAAUCAAAUAAAAUUGAAAUGCUACUCCUAUAUAAAACNUUCCAGCCCCCCAUAAAACCAAAACAAGUGGCGGCUGCCCCUUUAAUCACAAAAUGCCAAGAUUGAAUCUCAAGUGAGUGGCUGNUGUCGCAAAUUAAAUGAAGAACUGCACCGUGUGCUUCUACAAAUCAAUCAACGUGUAAAAGAAAAUUAAAGUGCUUCAUACAUUCAACCAAAAUCAGAGAAAAUGAACAUGGUUCCAAGCUCAAAAGCAAAGAGAAGAGAACCUUUCAGCCCAAAUGAAAAAAAUGCCGANAGAAUAGUAUGGUGAGCCCCAAAAAGUGACGGNUGGUCUCCUAGGUAACAAUCCCUAGGACAUGUGUCUUAAAAUUGGGUGGGGUCCACCCUAAAAAAAAUAAAACCCUAGGGUGACAAGUGUCCUACAAUUUUUGGGCCCUNAUAUUUUUUAACAAUGGCCCAAUAUGCAAAAGUUUGUCCAAAAAGUUUAAACAAUUAAAAUUACAAUACAACUAAAAUUUAAAAUGUCUAAAUGGAGAGUCUUGA
rnacentral:lncRNA from 1 species